rnacentral:tRNA from 1 species
CAGGGAGACAAAAAAUCGAUCAUGAUGUUUGAGUUAUUUAAUCUCAGGCCUUGAUCCUGUCACCUUAGGUCGAUCGGUACCUCAAAUUAAUUUCAAUGACAAGCUUUUAGCUGAUUUAUUGAGUUUGGUUUUAGUUCCUAAACUUGUCUAGGUCACACCCCACAAGGGUUACUCCUGGGCCAUUAGCUCAGGUGGUUAGAGCGCACCCCUGAUAAGGGUGAGGUCCCUGGUUCAAGUCCAGGAUGGCCCAUUCGGUGUUGGGGGUAUAGCUCAGUUGGUAGAGCGCCUGCUUUGCAAGCAGGAUGUCAGCGGUUCGAGUCCGCUUACCUCCACUGACCGCCCCCUUUAUGAACCCAUUUGUGAGUACCUUGUGAAAUGUGAUUUAGAAAAGCUGAUAGAACCUAGCUUCUUAUCAUUCCAAAAUUUCAUGCAAAACAUCCUUUGCAUGAAUGAGGUUGGCAAGACGCUGGGCUCAUUGGAUUUUUAAGUUAAAUCCAAUUUUGUUCGGCAGAACCUUGACAACUGCAUAGGUGAGUCUGGAAAAGAUAAAAGCAUCUCAUGGACGCAUAAUUUCUGUUUUCUGAAAACAAAAUUAUGUUUAAAUUCUUGAGAAGAACAGAGACUCUAAGCAAUCUUUCUUUGGUUUACCAUUGAGAGUUUGAUUAAUAAUUCAAACCUUGAAUUAUUAAGAAUGCGUAUUCAACUACGUUAGUUGUUUUAGAGAAUUAUUU